UGUAAGAGGGAUAUAAUGGACUCUGGGGACAGUGUACACUGCUCAGGUGACAGGUGCACCAAAAUCUCAGAAACCACAACUAAAGAGCUUUUCCAUGCAAUCAAACACCACGUUCCCCAAAAACUAUUGAAAUAAAAAAUAAAAUCCCAUUAAAAAAAUAAACUACUACUGAUAUAAACAAUGAAGAUCAUAAAAUGUAACUGGAAAUAAUUUUUUGUCCCACAAUAAGUCAUUGUUUAAAUUAUGGUAUAUCCAUCCAAUGAAAAAUCAUGCAGUCAUUAAAAAAAAAAAUCCACUUUAAGAUACCACUCCACACCCACGAGGCUAACCAUAAGAAAAAAGACAUCAUAAUAAGGGUUAAAAAUUCAGAGAAACCGGAAUCUUCAUAUACUGCUGGUGGGAAUGUAAAAUGGUGUAGUUACUAUGGAAAAUAGUUUGGCAAUUCCUAAAAAAGAAAGAGCUACCAUGUAACCCAGUGUUUCCACUCAAGAGAAGUGAAAAAAAAAGGUCUCAUACAAAUAUCUGUACUUGAAUGUUCGUAAUAGCCAGAAAGUGAAACAACCCAAAUGUCUACAGCUGAUGAAUGGGUCACUGAAAUGAGCUCUGAUGACACAAUGGGGUAUGACCACGUGCCAUGUGGUGGAAGGGAGCGCUGAUCCGUGCCACAGGGUAGACGCCCCUUGAGAACGUGCUGAGAGGAAAGCGCCAGCACAGAGGCCACCUAUGGUGCGAUUCCACUGAUACACAACGUCCAGAACAGAAUCACUCUGCUACACGGAUGUCCCUGGAGUUUCGAUUCCUAAAUCAGCAGUCUUCCACUCCGCAUCCGCGCCCCCGCAGUGCCCCGCCUGGCACGGGCAGGGGUGCCUCCCAGACAACGGAAACCAGACGAGGGCCAGGCCAGGCAGACACACCGGGCAGCCACUGAACUGCUGGGCCAAGACCUCCAGCCUCCCAAACCCAGAUUCCUGGUCCUAGGAGACGGCUUUCUCAGCUGCAGCCCAGACUCCGCGCUAAUCCGAAGAGCUGACCGUCUGCUGUUGACAGGCCAGCUUGAGUGAGGUAUGAUCUGCGCACGUGAACAGUUUGACAAGAGCAGUGUCAUGAGCUUUGCUGCGUGUACACCUGUGCGGCGAUCACAUCCAUUACGCCAAAGGGUAUUUCUAGCACCCCAUAAGACCCCAAUCAUAUCCCAGCACGAGACUCCAGGGAUCACUGACCUGCUUUCUAUCACUGUUGCUCAGUUUUACCUUUUUAAAAAGUUCAAAUCAAUGGGAUGGUAUAGUAAGUAUAAACUCAGUAAGUCUGGCUUCCUUCACUCAGCAAGAGAGACCCUUUCAUGUUUCCAAGCACCGCCGCUGCCGCGCAUUACACUGCGUGGAGACGCCACGGUCCACGUAUCCCUUCACCUGCUGACAGGCACCUGAGUUGUUCCUGCUCUCAGACUGUUAGAAUAAGGCUCUACAAACAUUCCUGUACAAGUCUUCAUGAGACCACAUUUUCUCUUGGGUUUCUCUUAGAUUAAAUACCGAGGAAUGGAACUGCAGGGUCACACCGUAAGUGUGUACAAAGCUACCAAACCAUUUCCAAAGUGGCCGUACCACUUGCUACUCCCAGGGGCAACAGGCCUGGCUGCUCUGCAUCUCUGCCAGCAGUCAGGAUGGUCAGUCUGCUUAAUUUUAGCCAUUUUAUUGGGUGCCCAGUGGUAUCUCACUGCAGUCUUGAAACCGCCUUUACAGAAUUUUAAGUAACGAGAGAAAUCUACAUUACUGACUCCACCUUGCUUCUAACCUCACAGGAUCUUUUCUUUUUUUUUUUUUUUUUUUUUUUGCUUAUUCUAAUACAGAGGCCAAGAUAACUAUGAGAGGAAUGUAGUUUAUAGUUAAACUUCAAGGCAAGGAAAAAUGACACCCGUCCUUGUUUGGAGAUUAAGACUGGCAUUGCUACAGGGGCCUGAACUUUGCUAAAGAACAGGCACGGGUAAACCAUGACCUGUCACUGCUUACUUAGCUUGCUCUUCUACAGUGCCUGCUACCCGGAGUCACGUAACCAGACGUUGUCAGAUUCGGAACUUCCCUAACGGCUCCUACAGACAUCACUGCUGUGAAACCUAAAAAACUGGUCUUUGGGAUAUUUUUCAGAUUUAGCAUUUCAGCAGAUCAAGAGAUGCCACCUGGACUUGUGACCCCAUCUCCCAGGAACUGACUCAGCUGCACGGAGACAGUCCUGACACCCCUAUCAUUGCAUCCCCAACACAACCAACCAGCAUUCACCACUCCCUAGGCCGCUGCCCGCCAAAACACCCUCAAGCCCUCGCCUCCUAAUUCUCAGGGAGACAGAUGUGAGAGUUAUCUCGCGUCCACCUCCCUCGGCUGGCUCUGCAAUCAUUAAACUCCCUCUCUGCUGCCACACCUGCCGUUCUCAGUGCAUUGGCUUUCUGGGCAGCAAGAAGAACCCUGUUGGGCGAUUACAGUCUUAAUUUGCAUUCCCCUAAUAACUAACAAUGUUGACCAUC
rnacentral:lncRNA from 1 species